UACGUAGGGGCCGAGCGUUGUCCGGAUUUAUUGGGCGUAAAGAGCGUGUAGGCGGCCGUACAGGUCAGCUGUGAAAACUCGAGGCUCAACCUCGAGACGUCGGUUGAAACCGUACGGCUAGGGUCCGGAAGAGGAGAGUGGAAUUCCCGGUGUAGCGGUGAAAUGCGCAGAUAUCGGGAAGAACACCCGUGGCGAAGGCGGCUCUCUGGGACGGUACUGACGCUGAGACGCGAAAGCGUGGGGAGCGAACAGG
rnacentral:rRNA from 1 species